rnacentral:lncRNA from 1 species
CUAGUUGUGAUGAUUAUCAAUUUUCCCUUCUAAGUGAUCGUUGAUUCGCCUCGCUGCAAUUCUGUUCUUCUCUGUUUACUUAUGCUCCCCUGUUUUCUUUUCAUGGAUCUGAAUUUUCAGAUAAAGUCAUUUUCUAUUGAACAACAUUGUAAAACUAAUCAAGUUGUUUUGCUCUCUAAUUCACUGCUUUGAUGAAGAGCACAGUAAAAUGAGGAAUGUCAUGUUUUUGUUUUACUCAUUUUUGGUACUCUCUCCAUUUUUUUUUAGUUGUCGACUUUUGAAUUGACACAUCUAUAAUGAUAUAGGGAAUUGAUCAAUUUAUCCAUAUUAAUUAUGAAGUAGAUGAAAAAUUCUACAUUUUAUAAAGUAAUUAGUCAUUUAAUUAAAAAAAUUAGAAACAACACUAAAAAGAAAAGUAAACAAAUAAACAGGGAGGGAGAGAGUAUUGAAUAAUAUACCACACUCAAACUCAAUAGGAAAGCUACUAAACCGAUAACACAUAGCGUAGGUAGAAAUUUCUUUGAAGCAAGUACAAUACAAUUAUACAAAUGCUAAAGCACACAGUAGAAAGAAGGCAGUGAAGCACAGAGCACAGGCAUGAGGUCUCGGAUUCAAUUUUCGUUUGAGAUAAAAAUGUUAGGUUAUUUCUUCUCAUGACGUAUUUAGAAGGGGUGUUGUGGGUUCACGUAAAUUCAUGCUCCCUUCUUGAAAUUAUAUAGUAGUAUUAUAUUUUUAAGAAAUUAUUUAAUUAUAGAUGUUUGAACUCACGAUAAAAGCAUCAUAUAUAUGAUGAUGAUUGAGUGCACUUUUCUACGUGAGUUAUAGCAAUUUAAAUUUUAUAUUUAUCUUGUCUUUUUGAAUAACACAUCUCCAAGUGGUUAUUAAUCACGAUCACACUUUUGAAGUUUUAAUAAUUUUUCUUUUGUCUUUUUUUAUUUAAUCUUUCAAAUUUUUGGGAAAAGGUCUGAAAAAUACUUCAACUUUGGCCGAAAUUAUUGUUAUGAUAUCAAACUUUAUGGACGAACUUUUACCCAUCUAAACUAUUAAUAGUGUAUUUAAAAGUAUAUAUGUACUCACGCGGACAUGUUACCAUUUAUAAUUAUGCAAUAUUUAUGAUGUCCACGUGGACACAUAUAUACUUUUAAAAUGCACUAUGAAAUAGUGCGGGGUAAAAGAUUCUUUUCAAAGUUUGGUAUUGUUACAUCAAUUUCGGUCAAAGUAUUAAACCUUUUUCCCCAAAAUUUUCAAGUAUGUUACAUCAAAAAGUUCUAAAAAAUUAGCAUGGUAAAAUUUUAUAUAAUUAAAUUAAAUAUGUAGUUCAAAAUUUAAUAUUAGUAGUAUUAUAUAUUUUUGACCUAUAAUUUUUAAAAUUUAAUAGUUAAUAUUAAGAACCUAAAAGUCAAACUGAUGCACUUUUUUUUGUAAUCGUGCACCCAUUUUACUGAAAUUCUAAAUACGCCUCUGAAUUAUCUUCUCAUAUGUUCUAGCCUUAAUGGGAAGAGUUACCUGAAACCUGCUGCUAGCGAAAGCUGUUGUUGGUAAGAAGUGGUAGAUAUCCUGUAAAAUUAAUCAAAAUAUGUGUAAGUUGACUCAAAUACCAUAGUUAUCUAAAGAAAGGGCGACAAAACUCUAGAUUAGUCCAACAAAAGCUUUUAAUCUAAAGCUCCGACAUGUGCGAAAAGUUAGGCUCAAACACCAUAAAAUUGGUCAUAAGACUUGCAUGAUAUAAUAAUUUUAUGCUUUUCACUAGUAAAACUGGAUAGAUGUUAAGUUGAAAAGCGGAUAUCUAUGUGGAACUGGUAUAUAGUAUCUACUGAUGAAAUAUAUGCUUUAAAACUAUCCGAAAAACAACGCUAUGGAAUUUAGAGUUGUUACUGCAAGUACUUUUAUGCAUCUUGUCUAAGAAGCACGAGUACUCUAAAGAAGAAUUCAUGCAAACUCCGAAGGCAAAAUCUGAGUAAAAGUGCUACGUAGAGAUAUAUAUACCAUAUCAGUUAAUGAUCAACUCACACAAACAUUUUUUGCUAUAGAAGUUUGUUGAAGUCUACGUGUAUUGAUAAGGGAAGAAAUUCUUAAGUUCAGAUCUGCUAUGUGUCUGACUUUUGAGAAUUUUGGGCAGGAUUUUGGCGAAUCGACAGUCUGCUGCUCGUUCUAAAGAGAGAAAGACUCGUUAUAUAUCUGAACUUGAGAGAAAAGUUCAGACCCUUCAAGCAGAAGCGACCACUCUUUCUACACAACUGACCCUUUUCCAGGUACUUGUUCCUUUUUACAACUUACAUUCUAAAAUCUCUAGUACAACUUUGGUUAUUUUUUUGUUCUGUAAACUUCGGCAGAGGGAUACAACUGGGCUAACUAAUGAGAAUACAGAGCUUAAGCUCCGGUUACAAGCAAUGGAACAACAAGCUCAAUUACGUGAUGGUAUGCUUCCCAUCUAUUGCUUUCUGCUGCAUUGUUGCAAUAUUGUCUUUGAUUUAUAUAGUCAUUUUCCCCUUCCAUCUCAAAAUUGUCAGCUACUUAAUUAUAAACUCCUUGCCCGGAAGAUACUGAACAAAUAAAAUCUAAUGUUACGUUAAAAUGACUUAAUUACCUUAUCCCUCUACACUCAGAUAAUAAAAGUUUCAUCUGUUAUAGAAAAACUACUGAUGUUUUGCAAAUCUUUCUCGUUCUGUUCCAAAUCAACAGCUCUGAACGAAGCACUGAAACAGGAAGUUGAAAGACUUAAAAUAGCUACAGGGCAGAUAUCAGCUUCCUCAGAUGCAUACAGUUCAGGAAUGCAGCAAAUUCAAUAUAACCGUCCAGCAUUCUUUCCUCAUCAGACGCAGCCAGGGCCAAGCGAAUCACACAACAUACAGAUGUCGCAGUUUCACCACCUCCAGGACAGCAUGUCUAAUCCGCGUCACCCUCUACUUUCAGGCAAUGUACAGGCUCUGGCAGACGCAAUGCAACAAGAUCCCGUCGGUCGUUUUCAGGGUCUUGAUAUUAGUAGCAGGGGCUCUCAUCUCGUAAAGAGUGAAGCACCCUCCAUUUCUGCCAGUGAAAGCAGCACUACAUUCUAAUUGAGUUGUCAAUUCGUGCAUUACACUCCCAACCAUAUUUAUUAAACUGUCCAUAGACUGACACGUGUUAAUAAACCGUAGGAACUUCAUUAUUCUUAAUUUUUUUCUGAUUAGUUAUUUGUCCCAUUAGACUCGAGUUUAGGCUUAACAGGUUAUGAUAUUUCUGUUUCUGUUCAGUUUCCUUUCUGAAUCUGAAGCAAAACCUUAUGAUUUAUUCAUGUAAUGCUUAUAGGAAGGUUGUCCACUGUCACCACUACUUGGUGUUGCGACGUGUUUGUGUUGUUGCAUUUUUUAGUGUUUGAACGUACCACUUCACUCUAGUUUUGAAUAACUAAUGUGUGGCUCCAUAAGUAGUACUGAUAAAUUAAUCCAUUGCAGUAGAACAUGUUUUUCACUUCAUUUCAUUGGCAGGACUUAAUAGAAAAUAGCAUACAUAGCGGAACCAUUCCAGAAUCAUACAUCUUGCAUGAAUAUAAACAACAACCACAAAUAGUCAUCACAUACAAAGAUGCUGAAAAUUAACUCAGAAUUACCUCUUGAAGCAAGUGCAGAUAUCUUGAAGUAAAUCCAACUCCAGCUCUAUAGUCUUCUACAGUGAUCCCAAUCAACAAUUGAACUCCCUCAAUACUUGGGUGGGCAAGUAUUGUAUAUAGAAUCCUCAAUCAAAUCUUGGUUAGAAGACUCCCUAUUUAUAGAGAUGUCUUCCUAGUCCAAAGAGGAGAAGAAAAGUCAAUUCUUAUUCUUCAAGAAAACUUCGAAACACACGUUUUUCCUUCAAAGAAAAAAGAACGCUACUUUUCCAUCUUCUACUAGAAAAUAGGAUUCUGAGUUCUAGUUAAAUUGGGCACCGGAGGGACCACAGAAUUUAUUACUGAGGCUUCCUAUUAUGGAAAUAAUUUUAAAUAAUUAAUUUGAAUUAUUCUUAUCAUAAUAAAUUACAAAUCACUCCACUAAAAAUUCAUAAUUGAACUCCUCUAUUUAUUUCGAAAUUCACCACUAAACACUUAUUUGAUUCCCCAUGUUAAGAUUACCGAUACUAAUCAAUAAAUUAAAUUACUGACGAAUUUAAUUCAAUGAUUAACUUCUUUUAAAGCAAUACUUAACUUAUUUCAUGUGCCAGAUUCAUAAAUCUACCGGUCGGGUUUGCACAUGAAAACUUACAAGCUUCUCAUAAAAGGUGUAUUAUCAAUCUCUAUACUGAGACAUAUUCCAUCAACUAACUAAUUAUUUCACCAAUAUAUAUUAUUAUCAUCCAAUCUACGAGGCAUAUUGACCCAUCUCAGAAUCUCACCUUUUAAUAAACCAAAAUGAUAAUUAAUAUAUACAGAUCAUAAUCGUUAUAUCAAGAUUAAGAAUGUAAGUACAUUUAAUAGUUUAGAGAAUAUGUUUUUAUCAGUCAGUUUAAAACAACUAUCUCUGUUUGGUCUCGUUCAAUACAUUCCAAAUGCACUAGCACGAGAAGUUAGAACUAUGUCAUUCUCAUAAUCAAGAUAAAUUACAUUUAAUCUCGUGCUACAAUCUUUCUGAUGAUUUUGUCCAAAUUUCCAUCUAUGAUUGUGAACUAUAAAUUUUAACUUAUAAGAACUGAUGAUUUAAUCUUCUGUGUAUAAGCUUAAACUCUAUACAUCAAAUCAUUUACUAUAUAAGUUAAGGACACAUAUAUGACAAUUGAUCUAUUUAAUGUAACACUUUAUUGAAUUGAAUAAAUAAAUAAACAAUUAUUUAAUAUUAAUACUAUAUCAAAACGCAUGGUUAAUAAUAUAUCCUAACAGGACUAACAAUAACAUACUUAAUGUAAUCCCAUAAGUAAAGUUUGGGAAGGGUAGAGUGUAACACUGACCUUACCCCUACCUCAUGAAAGUAGAAACGCUAUUUCUGAAAGUUCCAUUUGUUGGAUUUGAUCAUAUGCAUAAAUGCUGGCUCUUCAGGUCCAUUGUUUAUCAGCUAGGUAAACUAUUUUGUUUGAGCGCCUAAAUGUUGAGU